rnacentral:rRNA from 1 species
GAUGAACGCUGGCGGCGUGCCUAAUACAUGCAAGUCGAGCGAACGGACGAGAAGCUUGCUUCUCUGAUGUUAGCGGCGGACGGGUGAGUAACACGUGGAUAACAUACCUAUAAGACUGAGAUAACUUCGGGAAACCGGAGCUAAUACCGGAUAAUAUUUUGAACCGCAUGGUUCAAAAGUGAAAGACGGUCUUGCUGUCACUUAUAGAUGGAUCCGCGCUGCAUUAGCUAGUUGGUAAGGUAACGGCUUACCAAGGCAACGAUGCAUAGCCGACCUGAGAGGGUGAUCGGCCACACUGGAACUGAGACACGGUCCAGACUCCUACGGGAGGCAGCAGUAGGGAAUCUUCCGCAAUGGGCGAAAGCCUGACGGAGCAACGCCGCGUGAGUGAUGAAGGUCUUCGGAUCGUAAAACUCUGUUAUUAGGGAAGAACAUAUGUGUAAGUAACUGUGCACAUCUUGACGGUACCUAAUCAGAAAGCCACGGCUAACUACGUG